UGGGGGAUAUUGCACAAUGGGGGAAACCCUGAUGCAGCGACGCCGCGUGAGGGAAGAAGGUUUUCGGAUUGUAAACCUCUGUCCUAAGGGACGAAGGAAGACGGUACCUUAGGAGGAAGCCACGGCUAACUACGUGCCAGCAGCCGCGGUAAUACGUAGGUGGCAAGCGUUGUCCGGAAUUACUGGGUGUAAAGGGAGCGUAGGCGGCAGAGCAAGUUGAAUGUGAAAGCCCGGGGCUUAACCCCGUGAUGCGUUCAAAACUGUCCUGCUUGAGUGAAGUAGAGGCAAUCGGAAUUCCUAGUGUAGCGGUGAAAUGCGUAAAUAUUAGGAGGAACACCAGUGGCGAAGGCGGAUUGCUGGGCUUUAACUGACGCUGAGGCUCGAAAGCGUGGGUAGCAAACAGG
rnacentral:rRNA from 1 species